rnacentral:rRNA from 1 species
AGCGAACGCUGGCGGCAGGCUUAACACAUGCAAGUCGAGCGGGCACCUUCGGGUGUCAGCGGCAGACGGGUGCGUAACACGUGGGAACGUACCCUUCGGUUCGGAAUAACGCUGGGAAACUAGCGCUAAUACCGGAUACGCCCUUAUGGGGAAAGGUUUACUGCCGAAGGAUCGGCCCGCGUCUGAUUAGCUAGUUGGUGGGGUAACGGCCUACCAAGGCGACGAUCAGUAGCUGGUCCGAGAGGAUGAUCAGCCACACUGGGACUGAGACACGGCCCAGACUCCUACGGGAGGCAGCAGUGGGGAAUAUUGGACAAUGGGCGCAAGCCUGAUCCAGCCAUGCCGCGUGAGUGAUGAAGGCCUUAGGGUUGUAAAGCUCUUUUGUCCGGGACGAUAAUGACGGUACCGGAAGAAUAAGCCCCGGCUAACUUCGUG